GAUGAACGCUAGCGGCAGGCCUAAUACAUGCAAGUCGAACGGUGUCUUCGGACAUAGUGGCGCACAGGUGCGUAACACGUAUGCAACCUACCUUACAUUGGGGGAUAGCCUUUCGAAAGGGAGAUUAAUACCGCAUAAGACAGUAGCUGGGCAUCCAGCAGCUGUUAAAGAUUUAUCGAUGUAAGCUGGGCAUGCGUCCAAUUAGCUAGUUGGUGAGGUAACGGCUCACCAAGGCAAUGAUUGGUAGGGGAACUGAGAGGUCAAUCCCCCACACUGGCACUGAGAUACGGGCCGGACUCCUACGGGAGGCAGCAGUAGGGAAUAUUGGGCAAUGGACGCAAGUCUGACCCAGCCAUGCCGCGUGCAGGCUGAAGGCGUUAUGCGUUGUAAACUGCUUUUAUACAGGAAGAAACGACUCUUGCGAGAGGCAUUGACGGUACUGUAUGAAUAAGCACCGGCUAACUCCGUGCCAGCCGCCGCAGUAAAAC
rnacentral:rRNA from 1 species